UUAGGCCAAGCGAGAGAUACGGACUAAUAACAACUGCAGACCAAAUGAAGGCAGAACAGACAGCCCCCAAGUCUUACAGGACGAGGAGCAAGAAGGCACCAUUUCAUAUGCAAGACUCCAGUUCCCCCCCACUGGGUCCAAGGAGCACACUGUUUAUUCCAGGGUCAUGAACCGGAACUUGGCACCAGAUUCCUCAAAUGACAGAGUGAUCUACAGUGUAGUAAAGAAACUUGAACUUCCCCCCAAGAAUGACACCAAGGUGGAUUAUGAGAAUGUUGUGAACAAAGAAGAAGAGGAAUUGCACUACUCUUCCUUGGUGAACCUGACGCCACGGUCCCAUCCCAUCAAUGCAGACUUAGAAACAGAUUCUGAAUCAGAAGACAGCAUCCAGUAUGCAGCUCUGAAGCACUGAUCUAUUUAGGAUCACAGAGAUCAGGACUCUUCCCAUUCCACAACUGGGGAGUGGGAAUGAAUUAGAAUUGGGUGUGUCUAUAGCUUUCUUUUUACAGCCAAGAAUUGCAGAGCUCUGCGGGUAAAAGAGGAAAGAUAAAGUAGGAUAAGGAGCCAAUAAAGCCAGCAUUUAUGUUUAUAUUAUGUGUCCAAGUCAACAACUGGAGGUAUAUGGCUUUAUAAGGGUCAGCUUUCAACAUAUCAACCUAAUUCACUGAUGGGUGAGAUAUCCUUUUCUUCUUGACUAAUAUAGCUUGCUCUUCUCUUUCUGAUGUUCAAUCCACCCAUUAGGGAUACUGAAAAGAAUUGUAGAGCAGAUCAGAUGAUUUUUUUCAUGUAGUCUGGUUCUUUCAAUUCUGAGUAGUAGCACCUUUCCAGACCAGAUAUCUUCCAGACUAGAGAUCCAUAAUUUGCUACCUAGCCUAUCAAAUUGUCACGGAUUGGAUCUUCUGUGAUGGUACAGGCACUUCUAGCUUACUGGUUCCCAACCAUGUAGGAUCUAUUACUAAACAGUUCUCCAAAAUAAAUUAGACAAUUAUCCCAGGUACAUUUUUUCCUUCUGUGCUUCUCAGAGUAUAGUUGGCUUUGCUUGGCCAGGUCAGUUAAAUUCCUAGUGCCUGCAUUUGCAUAACAAUCUCAGCUUGAUGAGUUUAGCCUUGCUUUUGUGUGUUUCUGUGCACACAUGUGGCUUAAAGUGUUGGGCAAACCGAGCCCAUUUGGUUAGUGUAUUGUUCGAUUUGUGCAAGCCCAGUUAGUUCAGCAACUAACUUGUUGAAUGAACCCAUCAUGUGUAGUGAUGAAGUUUCCCACCUUUAACUUAUGCAUAGGGACAUAGGAAGCAGUAUAAUCCAAGUGAAACAACCAACCUUUCCAAUUUAGUACCUUCUAAAAACUGCACUAUUUUUAUGAGAUGUCAGAAAUUUUUUUUUUCCUAAUCUAUCUGAGAUGACAGGAAUUGAAACUGAGAUCUCUGGCGAGCAAUAUAUUGCUUCCACCAAUGAGCGACAAUAUGCUUCUAUGGUCAUUCCACAUGGAUAGUGAGAUACUCCAAGUGAAGAAAGAUGUAUAACCAGGAGCAGGAGCAGGAGCAGGAGCAGGAGCAGGAGCAGGAGCAGGAGCAGGAGCAGGAGCAGGAGCAGGUUGGAAAUCAUGGGCUCACACUGAUGGACUUCACAGUGCAGGAGACAGAAGGAGCACCAGCACACAGCUGUCCUGUGGUUCUGUCCUGGCUAUUUCACUCUGUUGUCUAAUAAUUGCCAACAAAAUGAUCAGAUGUAAAAAGAGAGAAGGACCUAGCAUCAUUCUUCUAACUAUAUCUGUUAUGGAAUCAUUCCAAAAUGUAUGUUAA